AAAUUGAAGAGUUUGAUCAUGGCUCAGAUUGAACGCUGGCGGCAGGCCUAACACAUGCAAGUCGAACGGUAACAGGAAGCAGCUUGCUGCUUUGCUGACGAGUGGCGGACGGGUGAGUAAUGUCUGGGAAACUGCCUGAUGGAGGGGGAUAACUACUGGAAACGGUGGCUAAUACCGCAUAACGUCGCAAGACCAAAGAGGGGGACCUUCGGGCCUCUUGCCAUCAGAUGUGCCCAGAUGGGAUUAGCUUGUUGGUGAGGUAACGGCUCACCAAGGCGACGAUCCCUAGCUGGUCUGAGAGGAUGACCAGCCACACUGGAACUGAGACACGGUCCAGACUCCUACGGGAGGCAGCAGUGGGGAAUAUUGCACAAUGGGCGCAAGCCUGAUGCAGCCAUGCCGCGUGUAUGAAGAAGGCCUUCGGGUUGUAAAGUACUUUCAGCGGGGAGGAAGGU
rnacentral:rRNA from 5 species